rnacentral:rRNA from 1 species
CCUACGGGAGGCAGCAGUGGGGAAUAUUGCACAAUGGGGGAAACCCUGAUGCAGCGACGCCGCGUGAGUGAAGAAGUAAUUCGUUAUGUAAAGCUCUAUCAGCAGGGAAGAAAAUGACGGUACCUGAGUAAGAAGCCCCGGCUAACUACGUGCCAGCAGCCGCGGUAAUACGUAGGGGGCAAGCGUUAUCCGGAUUUACUGGGUGUAAAGGGAGCGUAGACGGCAGUGCAAGUCUGGAGUGAAAGGCGGGGGCUCAACCCCCGGACUGCUCUGGAAACUGUACGGCUGGAGUGCAGGAGAGGUAAGUGGAAUUCCUAGUGUAGCGGUGAAAUGCGUAGAUAUUAGGAGGAACCCCAGUGGCGAAGGCGGCUUACUGGACUGUAACUGACGUUGAGGCUCGAAAGCGUGGGUAGCAAACAGGAUUAGAUACCCCAGUAGUC